GCCCCUGAGCAAGGCCCUUAACCCUCAGUUGCUCAGUUGUAAGUCACUCUGGAUAAGGGUGUCUGCUAAAUGCCAUAAAUGUAAAAGUCAGAUAUCUGGCGCCCUCUAGUGGUUAGAUUCAGUACAUAGUCUGUAAACCACCCACCAUGAAAAAGGGUAUUGUGGCCUUUAGUAAGUAGGUUUCUAUCCAUCCAUCCAUCUAUUUAUUUCAGUGCGAGAGAUACAAAGGCUGACAAACAUUCUAUAUAUUAUAAGCACAGCCUCUAAUGUGUCCAGAUGAAGACCAGAAGACAACUUGGACUCAGGACCCUACACCAACCAGGAGGAUCUGUGAGGUUACAGCCUUGUGUUUCUUGAUGUGGAGGUGGUCGAGGAAGCCGCAGCAGGAAGUGGACUCACAGGCCCUGUUUAGCGAGUGAGGCGGUCACCUGGUCUGCGAGUGUAGAGAGCUGCGGAGAUUCGCUCAUGUUGAUGCUGCCGGAGGAGGAGACUUUGCUGAGAGGGCGGGGUGAACCCUCUCCUGACAUGCAGGGGGAUUUAACCACGAUGUCCGCACCGUGGUCAGUGCGAGCUUUCGCCUGCUCGCGGAACAUCAGCUUGUGAGACUCAAUCUGGUGGAGAAGACGACGAGACAGAAUUACAGGAAAAACAAUCACAGAAACUCUGUACUGGACAAAAUGAGGACAUAUAAAUCUGUAGCUGUGUUUAUUAAAGUAUGUACUGUUAAUGCACCAUGACAGGAUAGAAGACAAUCUGAAACAUCUGCACCGAUAACAUUCUACUUCUGUUCUGCUCUAAUGACUAAAACACUCAGUUAAACUCACACACAACUGCUGCUGCACUGAUCCUAUUUAAUCUCAGCUUGUUUUUGCAACAACAAAUUCCCUCCAGAAAGUGGGACGAAAACCGAUUUAUGGGUAAAUGUUGUAUGUGUGGAUACCGUGUUGAUGCGUGUCUCGUUUUUUUUCCCUCCAUCGUGAAGUUUGUCAUUUUAUCGAGACGUUCCUGAGUGACGGCUGCAGCUCUGACUGUUAAAUAUAACUUCACCAAAUCACAAAAUCAUUUUAUUUCAGUCCCUGUACACGAGUUGUUACUAUAGCGAUGACGAUGUGCUAGAAGACGUGGAUUAUAAAUACAGACGUAAAUCUAAAGCUGUGAUUUGAAGCAGAUGUUGAGUUACAGACAAUUACACCACCACCUUCUUAUCAAUCCAAGUUCAGACCUCAUCACUGCUCCUGUUCUGUUCAUUCUUCUGUUUUAAAUGUCACUGUGUGUGUGUGUGUGUGUGUGUGUGUGUGUGUGUGUGUGUGUGUGUGUGUGUGUGUGUGUGUGUGAGAGAGAGAGAGAGUUGCCUCUGUAAAAAAUCAGCAUCAUCUGUCUUCUGUUUAUAUUAAAGCCUGAAAUGUU